CGAAUGAGGAGAUUCAUCGUCAGCUUAUUCAGUAUUAAUGCAGGCUAUGAUGUGAUAAUAGAAUCCUUGUGGUCACUAGAUUAUACUUGCUUGUAUUAUUUUUGCUGGGUAUGUCGGCGUGCACUUCUCCUCUAGUAGAACGUCGCAACCCGUUGGAUGUUUAUCUAUGGCUUGAAUGGUAGCCUUUGAUAUUUUUUAUAUUGAAGACCUUCGAUGUCCUGAUAAACUGUUUGACGGUAUACAUAUGGUAUUGAGCCGCAAUUAUUUGCGUUAGACUUGCCGCAAGUAUGACUUUAUUCUAGUAGUGCGGAUCUAAUGCCGUCGCUGGACAAAGUCUGCUGUUAGCUGUGU
rnacentral:rRNA from 1 species